ensembl:lncRNA
AUGGCUUUGUACCCUCUAGUAAAGAAGCAUUACCUCGCUGUGACAAAUGACCUUGGAAGUCUCCGCAUCUUUGAGAUUUUAAGGACACUCUACCAUCCUUCCAAGAAUGAGCUCUCACGCAUGGAAAAAUACUUUGAAAUGGAGACAGACUAUUUGAAGUUUUGGCAUGACAAGGAAAAACUCUGGUCCAAAGAGAAGAAGGUGGCAGAGAAACCAGAACAGAAAAAAGUGGAACCCAGCAGAUCAGCUAAAUCUGUGUCCACCGCUGAAGAACAGGAGCUGAAGAAGUACAAUGAGUUCAAGAUGUUUGAGGAAAGCAUCCUAAAGGAAAUGGGCCUGUGGCCAUCUGCUGGCUCAAAGGAUACCAGUAAUCCCAUUCACAAAACUGAUUAAAUGUCCAUCAAGUUUAGUAUUUUUUUUCUCAAAUUUAUUAUUAUUUUUUGCAUUGAAAAGAUACUGAAAUUUCUGACAUUUAAACCUCCGUUAACUGUCUUUUCUUGCAUAAACUAAUCAACAGUUAGAAUAUUUCAGUUUCGUUUUUUUGCCUGAAAAGUUGUGAGUGAAUAAGAUUCUAUUUAGAGAAGUUCAGUUUUUCCCCUAGAAGCUUUUAAUUUUCUGCAAUUUCUAGAUGUAAUAUUAUAAAAAUGUUGUUUCAUUAGAUAAAUUAUUUAUAAAUGGUUUCAUAGCCACGCCUUGCGGGGAUUUUCUCACUGUUGAUGGGGUUUCUAAUAAACAAAACCUGGUUUGACCAAAAAAUGACAAUUUCCAAUGUUUUUCCUUGAAGCACAGGAAGCCACCAUGCCAAACAUACCAAGUUAAGUUAACUAGAGCUAAGAUUUCAGCAUGUUCACGUCAAACACCAAAACUUUUUUGUGCAUGACUGGCUAGUAUGUAAAAGAAUGAGUUGCUUACGAUUUUACCGAAAUCUGACCACUAAGGUAAAUUAAGGUUGUAAACGUGUUUACUUCUGAUGUAAUGCUACAAACACACCAGGCAGUAAAGAACAGGCUGAAUGAGGAUUAUUGAAAGAGCAUUUAGUUUAGGGUGUUCACUCUGGACUCACUCUACCCAAUACCAACACAUGCACUCAUGUAGUCACAGUUGGAAGAGGCUUAGUGCGAAUUGUCGAACCGGUGUACAUCUCACAAAUCUUUCUCCAGGCCUUUUCUUUCAAAGCUCUAGUCUGAUACAAGAAAGAUUUGGUGUCAUAUGAUUCUGACAAGGUUCAAACUUCAAUUAUUAGUUUCUCCUCAAUGAUGAAUUUUGAAAACGGUUGUCACUUCAUGAAUUGAGAAGGACGCUACCAUUCGUCACUACCAAGUGACGAGUGCCUGAUUGGUCCAAGUUCAACUGGUUUGACUUUGGCCGCAUGUUUUGUGUGUAGAGCCCAAAAGCUGACUUAAAAACAUGAAUGUGAGAGCCUUGAAGGCUUUGACAUUUCAUGCUAAGCCACAUGUAGUUGCAUGCACUAGUAUCAGAUGGCGACGGUCCAGUGUGAACACUACAUGCUAAAAGCUGCUUGAAAGCGGGUUCUCAAAAACACAGUACAUGCCUGGUGUGAACACAGCUGUAUGACUUCUGCUUCCAUGAUACUUUAGAUUCAAAAAGUUAGUCAUGAAGGACAUCACAUUUGAUUACAAUAAAAAAUAAGGUUCAAGUUCAUCCCUGUUUAAGUAAUAAACCAAAAACUGAAUUAAUUAUGGCUUUAAAUAUAUUUUAAAUACAUUUUCUUUAUUUAAAUGCAUUUUCCCUCUUUCUUUUCAUAAUACUUGCAGCUAAAGUGACUGUUGUUGCAGUUUUUGGUUUCUAUUAGUUUCACUUCUUCAUGGGAUCAAAAAUGCAGCGCAGAAAACCUCUAAUCAGGCGCUGACAGUGGGUAUCCUUCCCCAACAGAAGCUGCAGAGAGGCGAGGUGGGAGGGGUGCAGGUCAGCUACUGCAUAAUGUAAGGGCAGCUGUCUAUUGCCAGGUUUUCACACUGUGUCCAUGAAGCCUCCAGAGGAAAAGGAGCGGGCCGAGGGGAAUUGAUGAACAACACAAACUCAAAUGGAAAUCAGAGGAGCUGGAGGGGAGCUGGGGUCGACUUCACUCUGGCCAUGACUCAUUCACCAGGACGGCCCUGUCACAGAGUGGAGGAAGAGGAGGGGUUAAAGAAUGGGCUGAUGUGAGGCCGCUCUGAGACAGGCGUCCAUAUGGCCCUUGAGGCACCAGCAAGGUCCUGGUGACAAAAGAGGCCUCCGCUCUCCCGUCAUCCUCCCAUCAAACCCCUCUGGGAACUCUGUUUCUUCCAGGCUCCUGCUGGAAUGUGCCGCCAGUCCACAAACAUCUUCACUGCUCACUGUUUGCUGCAGGAGCUGAUCCCCAAAAGUUUUAUGUAAUUGAGCAUGCAGCCUAAACACAUAUGAG